AAUGAACGCUGGCGGCAGGCCUAACACAUGCAAGUCGAACGGAUCCUUCGGGAUUAGUGGCGGACGGGUGAGUAACGCGUGGGAACAUACCCUUUGGUACGGAAUAGCCUCGGGAAACUGGGAGUAAUACCGUAUGUGGUCGAGAGACGAAAGAUUUAUCGCCAAAGGAUUGGCCCGCGUUGGGUUAGGUAGUUGGGGGGGUAAUGGCCUACCGAGCCGACGAUCCAUAGCUGGUUUGAGAGGAUGAUCAGCCACACUGGGACUGAGACACGGCCCAGACUCCUACGGGAUGCAGCCGUGGGGAAUCUUAGACAAUGGGGGAAACCCUGAUCUAGCCAUGCCGCGUGAUCGAUGAAGGCCUUAGGGUUGUAAAGAUCUUUCAGGUGGGAAGAUAAUGACUGUACCACCAGAAGAAGCCCCGGCUAACUCCGUGCCAGCCGCCGCAGUAA
rnacentral:rRNA from 1 species